ensembl:misc_RNA 7SK 7SK RNA
GGUUAUGAGGGCUAACUGGAAUCUAUCACCCAUUUGGUUGCCAAGGUUGAUUCAUCUGGUCUGGCUCUCUAGGCAGGUGUCCCCUUCCUCUCUCAACACUCUACGUACGUCCCUCCUGAAGCUGCAUGCUAGGUCAAAGAAGACAAUCUUCCCUGAUAGAGGAGAACUGUGCUUUAGUCAAAGGUAUACCAGUAGCUUCACUCCCCUGCUCGAACUUCCAAACAAGCUCUUUGUAGGAUAAUAUACAUAAUCAAGCUCCUGAAACCCUAGACACCGGCAAAUGAGGUGCUAUGUGAGGUAGAUUGCCUUUCUUG